rnacentral:lncRNA from 1 species
CACAAUGCACUCGCUGCCACAAGGAAUGCAUGCAAAGGUAAAGAUUGGAUCUUAUUUUUCUCCUUUAAUUUUAAAGAACAUGAGGGAUAUUAAUUGCGUGGUUUUGAGAUCGGAUCUCAAGAGUUUUCAAAAUCAAAUUUGUUUGAUUUUAUUUUCAUUGCGUUUUUACUGUACGCAAUUUUCUAACAGAUAAUUUACUAACUAUUAGUAAGUCCUUUCUUAUAACAUUUACACUUUAAUACCACUAAUUUGUAAUUAUUACAAAUUAGUCCAAUUAUCAACAUAUUGACAAUUAGGUCCUCCGAAGAUUCAAAAAUCACGAUCUAGCUAUCCGAUCAAUCACAACCUCUUAUGUGUGUGAUCCCAUAGGUUCUAUUCUCUCUGGUAGUGAGAAAUAUUUUGAUCACUAUCAAUAAUAUCACUGAAACUCCUUUCAGUGGAUCGGAAUAAUUCCAACUCAGCCUAACGAGAAUUAUCGAUCAUCUAGAUAAUUCUCAUGAAUCUCACAAUCCACCAGUAACCCCUAGCAGCAUGUAGUAGCAUUUAAGUAGAAUGGAAUUGUAAUAUACCGAAACUUCGGUAGAGUAUGUCGAACUUUAGUCAAAAUGACCAAAGUGUGCGAGAGAAAUGUUUAGACAAAGUCCACUUAACAUUCCAACGAUGUUGGAAGGGUUAAAGUUGAGUUCCAAGUAAGUUAGAAAGGUUUUAGCAUUGCUCGACGCGAAGCAAAGUCGAAACAAUGCAAAACUAAAAUUCUGGAGCAUUGUUAACCGGUGACAGUCCUGGGUAGUACCGGUACCCUACAUCAAACCGAGAGAAGCAGCUCUCGGGUUUGAGUGCUUAAGGCUGUUGAACCGGUGACACCCCUGGUUUGUACCGGUACCAGACUGCUGACCGAGAGAAGCAGUUCUCGUGUUAGCCUCUGCCCGACGGUGUAACCGGUGACAAAAAUCCCGUGUACUGGUACGCUCGCUGCGAAACAGCAACUGCAGUCUGCUGCAUAUAAAAAGGUUUGGAGGGUCUUUUUGCUAUUGUAACAGCUUAUAAAAAGACUUCAACCCCUCCUCUCCCAUUCACAGCAGAGAACACCUCUUUCCUUCUCAUUUCUCUCCCUCUCUCUCUAGAAACUCUACUCCAAGGUAGAUUUGGAGAAGAUUGGAGAAGGAUUUGGAGGUUUUGGAGCUUUGGGAGAAUCAAGAGCUCUCCUACAAGGUGUAGCUUUGUGAGCUUCUAGGCCAAGGUAAGGUUUCUUGUGAGAUGGAGGCUAGGGCUUGGUGUUAUGCUCUAAAUCCUUUGGUUUUGGUUUUCUUACAUGAAUAGAAACCUUGUAGAGACCGUGAGAUUUCAUGAAAUCCAAGUUUCUCCAUGAGCUCUCAUGGUGGAUUUUUAGGGUUUGUUUUAGAGGCCCUAAGAAUGGUUUAAAUGGUUUUAGAUGAGCUUCUAGAUGUUGAUCAAGCUUGCUUUUGCUUAUUUUAAAGAUCAAACCAAAGUAUUUGGCAAAUGACAUUGUUAGGGCACCAAAAUUGGGGCUUUUGCCCUAGGUUGGUUUAAAAAAAAUUGAUCUUAUAGAAACCAAAUUGGGAAUAUUUCUAACUCGUUGGUAGACUUGAUUCGCUAAUCCGACGAGUCUACGCAAAGUUAUUGGAAAAAAAGCCUAAUUUGACUUCGUUUUGCGGCAGGCGAGAGAAUAUGCGCCCAAAAAUCACGAUAUUUAAACCGUAGCACCUUUACAACCAUACGAUGUAGGUGGUGCUUUCCGAAAUCGAUGAAUUUCCUCUUAUAUCUAAAGUGUCAUUUUUUAACAUAUGUAUGUAUAGUAUCUUCAUACAUUGUAGGGUUGGUUGAGAUAUGUUAUUUGCAUGCUUACAGUAUAAAGAUGCAUAUGAGAAUGUUGAACAAAGUGAAAACCCUAUGUAUGCAUGAAUGGUGACAAAGACCUAGAUGAGGUAAAAAAUAAAAUGACAUUAUGAUAUAUGGAUUGUGUGGCAUUUGUAAAGACUAUGAAUGCUAGAGAUUGGACUCUUAGUUGAGUGGCAUCAAUGAGAUUUGAUUGCUACAGUUGAACACUUAGUGUGUGGCAUUAAUAAGAACAAUGAAUGCAUGAAAAAGAGUUAAAGAACACUUAGGGGCCGUUUGGUUAGAUGUAAUUAUAACUGCAGUGCAGUUAGAGAUGCAUGUAGUUGGAAAUGCAGCAGCUAUAACUAUAUGAAUUUUGUUUGGUUGGAUGUAGUAGAAAGCGCUGUAAGUAUAAAUAAUUUAUUUGGUUGCAUGCAGUUGAGAAAUAAUUUUAAAAUUUUAUUAUUUUAUAUAUAUGAUGGUGAGAUUACCUCCAAUGUAAAAAAGAAAUAAAAUUUUUGUUUGAAAAAUAUUGAGGAGGUAAGCAUACCUUUUAUUUAAAGUUACUCUCUCCAACUGCUGUAAUUGGAACUAUAGCCAAUUUGGGCGUAGUUUGAACUGCUGCAGUUGGGCCUCCUCCUAGAGUUCCUACUGCAGCAGUUGGAGUUAAAUACAUCAAAUUAAACACGAAAUUUGCAUUUACAUGCAGUUACAACUACAAUGCAGCUGCAACUACAUACAACCAAACGGCCCCUUAGUGUGUGUGGCAUCAUGAAAGUUAAAGAAUGCAAGUAUAUGAGAUAGUUGACAUUAUGACAUAACAACCUUAAAGUUAAGGGUCAUAUGAGCAUUGCAUCCUUAUAGUGAAGGAUUGGAUUGAACUUGGAAUCCUUAAAGUUAAGGAUUGAUCAUACUCGCCUAUAAGUCUUGCCAUGAGGGAGGUCGCUCCCCCUCGAGCGAUGAGCUCCGGAGUUGUCAUCACUGGAAAGGUGUUUGCCCCAAAAGACGGUCCCGUCGGGAGGAAGCUAAGGGUCCGAUAUGAGGGAUUUGGGUUGGUGAGUCUAUUGAUCCCGUCGGGAGAAAGCUAAGGGCCCGAUAAUAGGGAUCGGAAUUGGUAAGUUGUUGGUUGAGGCGAAACCUAUGGGUUAGCCAAAAUGACCGAGAAUUGGAAAGUGAUCUUGCAUUCAUCAUUAGCAUUCUAUUGAGCAUAAUCAUUGAUUAUAUCUUGUUCAGGCAUAUUAGCUGCAUUUGUUAGUUUGGCUACUAUCUAUCUCUAUUCUUCUAUUAUACCUGAUUUAGACCUAGUGGGAAAGUCGGCGAGAUCGGCGGCCGAACCCACUGGAAACUUUGUUGUAGUUCUCACCCCACUAUUUCCACAGAGCCGGGACCAAGUGAGCCGGCCGACGAUCGCAGUAAAGGUAUCGCGCCAUAGACAGAGACCGCCCGUGUUGGUUAUAUUUUGUGUAGUUGCAUACCUUUUAUAUAUCAUCUUUUGUACUUUGAUGAUUAUAGUUGUAUGAAUGAUGCAAAUAUAUUAAUAAAAGAAUGUAAAGAGUUCUAUUUUGGAAAAUAUGUGAUGUAAAAAGAAAUGAUGCAAAAGAUGUAAAGAGAAUACAAAUAUUGAAUGCAUGUAUGUGGUUAAAAGUAAAUCAUAUUACUUGUAUGAUGUUUAGUUAGUACUUUCACUUUGGCUAUUGCUUGCCCUCGUGCAACCCAUAUAUGUAUGUUUCUGCAUGUGCAAUAUCUCUACUUGAUUGUACUUGUGUUGAGCCUUGGGCGGAUAAGGAGGUGCUGUCCGUUCGGUGUCUAUUCGACGUGCCCGAACCGACCAAAUAAGACCGGUCUCGGGGCGUGACAGGAAUACUGAACCUCUUGGUGCAGUUACCGUGUGAUACAAUCCUUCUAUCAUGAGUCCUGACUAGACGGAGGUAAUGGAAUAAUUCGUCAAACCCCAUUGUCUGUCAUAUGUUAAAUUUAUUCGCCUCGAGUUUCUAAUAUCGAAAACUCUUUCCGCUAUUAACUCUGCCCUAGCCAAGAUCUUCUAAACUCGGUCUUAUAAAUCAUAUAGGACUAAUGCCCCUAUCUACCAAGGGAGAUAGAUUCCAUAUAAGUGCACACCAUAUUCCUACAAUUAACCUAUUGCAGCCUACAUGCACCGCAAGGACCCGAAUAGCUAGGGACCAAGUGUAUGUACAGCCAACCUACAGUAACCUCAUUGUGAAUAGCCGAGGCACUGCAGGUCAAAGGACCAGUCACACUACUACGACAUUGAGAAAGUCACUGACGAGUAAGUAGACAUCCAAGUGACUUCUCGCGAUGGCCACGCUCGGUACCCUUGUUCUCUAACAGCUACCUGUAUAUUCGCUUCAGUGUCCCCACACUGUCGACUCGAGACUUGUCUACCCAAAAAGGAAGGGACCUAUGCACCAAUCUCACCGGAUCAAUCACCGUUCCCGUGAUAAUCCAUCAAUCGGGAGCAUUUAGGAAUUAACCACCAAUGACAUAUGUCUCAAAUUCUCAACUAUUGAGAAUAUAUGUCAUCAUCUUAUUACUUCCUUGGAUGAUUCAUCGACACAUACACAACAUGAAUAGAAAUAAGAAUCCAAAUUUAUUCAUAAUAUUUUAAAGUCAAAUAUAAAUUUAUGUUCUGUAAAGAAUUCAUAUGUCGGCCUGGUUGGUUUCUAAGGCAAACAUCUAACACUCGAACCUUUGACAAUCAGUCAAGAGGUCGCUAACAGCGAUUACAUGCUGUCCAGGGCAGUGCACAGGGUCCUAAUUACCAAAAACACGCAAACAAUUCAACUAUUGCACUAAACACUAAUCAAAUAACACUACUAGAAAAUGAGUCAUUAGUGGCUAAUAUUUAUACUGCUAAAUGAUCAACAAAUGCUGCGAAAAAUUUUAACAGUAUAUGACACCAAAUGCUGCCUAUACCAAUGUUGCUAAAAGUAUUAGCAGCAUUUAUUAUAAAUGCCGCCAAUGUAGAUCAAUUUGUAUCAUUAGGAACAUGCCGCUAAAAGAGAUUAAAUGCUAAUUUUAAAUUGUUUAUUAGUGGCACAUAAAUAUAAUGCCGCUACUACAAAUAUCUGAUUUUAGAAAUUAAAAUUUUAAAAUUUUAAUUUUCUUUUUAAAUUCAAUUUUAAUUUUUUUGAGAUUCUACCCGCUUCGUUUAUUUCUUUUAGAAAUAAACUUUGUCGGAAAAGAGAAUCAACUAGGAUUCAAACUUGAGACCUCGAGUACCAACCACCAAGCUCUUUGCUAUUUGGGCUAGCGACUAUUAGUUAUGUAUAUUUUAAUUUUUUAAAUUUUAAGUCUUCUAUUUUAAAAUUUUAAAAUUUAAAAUUUUAAAAUUUUAAAAUUCAAAAUUUUAAAAUUUUAAAUUUUAAAAUUUUAAAUUUUAAAAUUUUAAAUUUAGAUACUAAAUUUAAAUUUUUAAUUUUCACAUAUCAAAUUUUAAGUUUCAAAAUUAAUAGUUUUAAAUUUGAAAUUUUAAAUUUAAAAUGAAUUUAAAAAUUUAAAAUUUAAAAAUUUAAAAAUUAAAAAUUAAAAAUUUAACAUAAUUUUAGAAUUUAAAAUUAAAAUAUAAAUUUUAAAAUUUUUAAAUUUUAAAUUAUAAGUUUAAUUUUUAAAAUUAUAUGUUUCGAAUUUAAACUUUAAUUUUAAAUUUUUAAUUCUAAAAAAAGAAUAUAUUAAUAAUUAUAUAUAAUUAGUUAUAAUAUUUAGUAACAAGUCUGCUAGUUUAUUAUAUUUAGGUGCUUUUGGUUCGCGCUAUCUUUUUAGAUUUUAGUAAUCAAUAGGAAUAAAAAAAUAUACCGGUGUUUGGCCAAACGCAUUAAGUAAUAUAGUUGGUAAUACUGGAUUUACUUGGGAAUAAGAUGCAUCCCAAAGUACUAAUCUCAUUCCUUUGAGGGAAGGUGGGUAUCUUUAUAUUAAUGGAUUGGAGUAAUUAUAAUAUGUCUAAUCUCUUUCUUUCUUCUCACCCGCCGACUAGUUGGUAUUAUUUUUCUUUACACUCUAACCUCAUAUCUCUCUCUAAACUUAUCUUUUUCUCUCUAAACUUCAACUCUUUUUCUCUCUCUAAACUAAGCUAUUUUUCUCCCUUUUUUCUAAAAUCUCAACCGUCUCAUUCUCUCUAACAUCGACUCUAUUUCUUUAAUUAUGCUCUCUCUUUCUAACCAUUAAAAAAUGUUGAAAUUUUUUAUAGUAUUAUUUAAAAUUAAAUUAAUUAAUUAAUUAAUUACAUAUUUUUCGUAAUCUUAAAUAACAUGACUAAAUAAUAUGACCGUACGAACCAAAUACCGAAAUACUACAUUCUUAGUAAUAGGAUGAAUAGGAAUAAGAUUCUCGGAUAUCUUUUUACUCCUAGUAAUAUUUCAUAGUGCGAACCAAACGCACCCUUAACGGCAUUCACUAAUUUAUCCUAUUUUGCAACAUUAAUAGUAAAUUGCUGCUAAAUAAUUAAAUUUAGUGGCAAUUAUCAAGUAAUGCUACUAAAUAUAUUAAUUGACAUGAUUUAAAUAAAUGUUGCGGAGCAAAUAUUGCGGCAUUUAGCAAUAAAUGCUGCUACUUUAUUACAUUUAGUAUUAACACAUAAAAUCAGGUUUCAAGAUCAUUACCAUAAUCCACAUUGCAACGGAUCCCACCAACCAAUCAAUUUGAUUCGUCUCAACAUGAUGACACUCGUGCUCACUAUAUGAAGCGCAAACAACAGUAGGAAGGCUUCAAAACAACAAGAAAGUCUACCAAAGACUUGAUCCCGAAAGCGACCGAGAUCAUCGCACUCACUGGGACCUCGUCGAUCGCAAGAAAGGUGAGCAGAGCACUCCACAGGGUCCCAAGAGUGUGGUACUCACACUUCAUAAGCUUAUCGAAGUCUUCAGCUGCCGAAAAAUCGAGCCUACCAAAACUCAGCUCUAAGGAACCUAGCCUGAUAUCUGGGAUAUUUGGAAUUGAGGAAUUCAAACCAAUAUCGAAUUUGAUUUCAAAUUUGAAUUAUACAUACACACAUACAUACAUAUAUAUAUAUAUAUAUAUAUAUAUAUAUAUAUAUAUAUAUAUAUANCCCGAACGGCUCCGCGGCACCACGUCGGCGACGAAACUCCACCCGAACUCCACCUUGCUCACAAUCGGUUCUAGAGAGAGAGAGAGAGAAGAAGAAAAUGCAAAGUUAAUUAAGGAGACGGAGGUUGCAACCCUCUAAUGGAUAAGCAUCCAUGCAUGCAUGCAUGCAUGGGGGCACGUGUCAUCAUAUACAUAGGUAUAAGGAUACUACAGGUAGUGCCGGAAGCGCUUGCGUAGUCCAUUCGCAGAUCCGACAAGCGGAAAACCCAAAAUUGCAUGUUUCUCGAGGAGGGUUCAGAGUUGGAAAUCAGUAUUUUUGCAAAAUCCCCAACAGUUUAUGUACUGAAUCACGCGAGAUCGCACGUUAAGGUGUCAUCAUGCGUUUUUCACGUGCUUUAAGGGACUUGGAUUGAAAUUCUGAUGUUUGGAGGAUUUAUGUGUAAUUUUUUUUAUUCUUACACAUUUGAGCAUUAGGGUUUCCUCUCCCUCCCAGCCGCAACCCUAGCCGCCCUCACCCCUCACUAGCCCUAACCGCCUCUUCACCUCCUCUGCGUGUGCCGCGCCCCUACACGGCCGCUGGCGACCUCCUCCGGCUGCUGGAGAAGCUCCCUAACCUCGCUUUCUCACUUUUUUAGUCUCUCUCUCCCUAUCUCUUUAUCUCUAUGACUCGAGCUACAUGGAGAGCUGUGCCUUUCCUUCAGGCCCUCCAUGCAUUGUCCCACCUCCGGCGACCCCUCCCACGGUGACCCCGAGUGCCAUAAAGGCAGCCACGAUUGCCGGGCUCCUUCCUGCACAGACUCGGACAGAGAGGAGCCGUCUCUAUCUAAGCGGCGAUCGCCGCCGUUCCUCGCAAUCACCGCCGUCUUCCCUAACCUUAGAAGGUCUACCGCCGACGAUCCCAACCUCCCCCAGCCGCCGUCCCUGCAGCUUGGUAUUUUCUAGCCUGGACGGGAUCUGUGCUGGCCGAGCUCCUCCUACCUCUACCACCAGCGCUCCCCGUCGCCGGCCAGGACGAGCACCGGACUCCCCUCGGCCUCCGCACCCAACCCCAGCCGGCGAGCGUGCCGGCAAGUCGCCGGCAGUCGGCCAGAGCUGAGGUGCUCCCUGCCUUGCUGAGCUAGGGCUCAUUGUAGCCUUUUUGCACCUCUUCGGCCAUCCGAGCCUGUGCGAUCCUCCAUAAGGUGAGCACAAUGAUCCCUGGCCGUUAAUUGAUAUUUGUAAUAAUUUUGAAAUAAAGGAAAAGAGGUGCUUUUUUUGUCUAGGUCGCUUUCCUUAAUCACUAGAUAAAUGAUAUCGAAAAAUUUUAAAAUUUAAUUUUUAGGUACUUCAAAUACUCUAGAUUAAGUCUAACGGAGCCGAUUGUCGAUUCAAAAGCCCCAACAUAAAAAAUAACUUGGAAGUAUGGAGGGCUUUGGGCUUCUAAAAGCAUACUAGAUCACUUUUUUUUGUUAGAUUUUUAUUUUCAACCGUUCAUUUUGAGGUUACUCAUUCACUAAAGCAAAUAGAGUCAAACAAUUAUGAAAUUUGAUUUCUAAAUAAUUCUAAUACCGUAGAUCAUGUCUAACAAAGCCGAUCGUCGAAUCAGAUAUUCCAUCAUCAAAAUUUACAAGCACAGAUUCCUUCGUACUGUCGAAAGCGUAGAAGCCUAGCUAUAUAUAUAUAUAUAGAGAGAGAGAGAGAGAGAGAGAGAGAGAGGACGACUAUUAUAUUCUAAUGAGUAUGAUCGUCUUUAUACUCAUUAAGUCGUUUUCAAUGAUAGAGCUUUCGAACCGACUAUCCAUACCGUUAAACAUGAUUUAGAGAAUUUAAAACUUUUAGAAAUCAAUUUUUUUAAUUUUUCCACAUCAUUUACCAUAUGAUCAAAUUAUCUUAAAAUUGAUAAUUUUUAACGGUCGGUAUAGAAUACUUACUAAUUUAAAGGUAUAAAAGAAUCGAAAUUGGUUGAAUUUUUAGGAAAAAUUCUAUCCACUAUCUAAAUAAUGAUCAAUAACUCUGAUCUUAAAUUGAAGAAUUCGAUCAUCUAUUUUAGAAAAUCGUUCAAUUUUGACCAUUCAUUUUAUUCCCACUUGAUGGACUUUAAUAUAAUUUUAAAAAAAUACAAAUUUAUUUUCUAAAAAUUUUAAAUAUUAUCAUAUUUAACUAUAUGGAUCGUCAAUUUGGAAUCUCCAUCAUCAAAAAUAACUUAUGAGUACGAAGAGAUCAUACUUAUAAAGGUAUAGUGGCCAUAUAUAUAUAUAUAUAUAUAUAGAGAGAGAGAGAGAAAGAGAGAGAGAGAGAACGAGAGAGAGAGAGAGAGAGAGAGUUGAGCUGGAAUACUGUCGAUAGCAAACGGGUUCCGUUGCCACCCAUUUGUUUUUGAUAAUGGAGCUUCCAAAUCGAUGAUUAGUACCAUUGAACAUGAUUUAUACUAUUUGAAUCAUCUAGAAAUCAAAUUUUAUACUUUUCCGAUAUUAUUCUCUUGUCCAUCAAGUGGACACAAAAAUGAACAGUUGAGAAUGAAUAUCCUUUAAAAAGUGAUGAUAUGAAUCUUAUAAUCAAGAUCAAGAGUAUAGAUCUUGUUCUAAAUAGUUUAAAAUUUUUCUAACCAAAAUUCAAUUGAUUUAAAUAUCUUUACACCAUUAAAUGAGAAAACGCCUUAUAUCGACCAUCAAAAUUACAAAUUUUGAAACCCUUUGAUCAUUAGGUUAAUGGAUGUCAAAUUAUUUGAAUUUAGUUUUCAGAUACUUUAAGUAGUAUAAAUUCCAAUGUUCAAUGUGCCCGACUCCUCAAUUUUUGAGGCUGUAUCAUCAAAAAAUAAUGAGUGGCAACGGAGCCCAGCGAUAGCAUUCUGACUCAACUAUAAUAAUAUAUAUAUAUUAUUAUUAUAUAAGAGAGAGAGAGAGCAGAGAGAGAGAGAGACGAAGAGAGAGAGAGAGAGAGAGAGAGUUGGGCUGGAAUACUAUUGAAUAAGCAAAAGUCUUUGUUUGCUAUUAGUUUUAACCUUUGGAUGAAAAUGUAUUGAGUGGUUAGGAUAAUAUUAGUCUCUUAUGGUAUUGAUGCAUCCCCUAGGGUUGAGUGGUCCCCACUGAUUAUAAUAUUUAUUCCAAAGGCUAGAAUGAUUGAAAAAUUGAUCUAAGGCUAAAAUCUUGAUAGCAAAAAAGGCUUUUGCGGUGGGGGUACCAAUAGUAUAUCUAGCACCACUUUCUGGCCAACUCUCUUCUCUCUUUAUCAUCUCUCUUCUCUUCUUCUAUUCUCUCCUUAUAUAUAUUAUAUAAUAUAUAUAGAGGAGAGAGAGACGGACGAGAGAUGAGUGAGCUAGAAUACUUCCUUCGGCAAGUAAAUGAAGACUGUUUUACUCUCGAUUUGUUUUCGAUGAUAGAACUUUCCAAUUGAGAUCGGUCGUUUACUGAACAUGAUCGAUAUACCUUGAAGUGUUUAGGAAAUCAAAUUUCAAAUAUAUUCGACAUAUUUGCUUGAUGAUUUCAAAGCGUGUUCAAAUUUUUAUAAUAUUAAUGGUCGAAAGGGUAUUUUUCGUUUAACGGUUUGUAAAUAUCCAAAAUCAAUUGAAUUUAUUGUAUAGACAAUUCUUUAAACAAUUUAAAACAAAAUUCUUUCUUGAUCUGAUUACAAGCAUAUAUCUAUUUUUUAAUAAUGAUUAUUUUCAUUUCACAUUUAUUUUCUUUGUUCACUUGGAUGGAUAAAAGAAGAAUAUUGAAAGUGCUUGAAAUUGGAUUUCUGGAUAGUUUUAAAUGGUUUAAUCAUAUUUCAACGGAGCGAUCGAUCAACUUUGAGCUCUAUAUCGAAAACAAAUGAGUUAGUAAAACGGUCGUUUAAUAACGAUAAUAUUCUAGCUCAACUAUAUAUAGUAUAUAAUAUAUAUAUAUAUAUAUAUAUAUAUAUAUAUAUAUAUUAUAUUAUUAUAUAUAUAUAUAUAUAUGUAUUAUAAUAUAGGCUGGAAUACUGUCCAUAGCACCAAGUUGUUAGUGCUAUUAGUUUUUUAGCCCUGGAUCGAGAAAUGUGCGGUUUAAUGAUGUGUGGGCCCCUGGCGGUUUGAGUGGGUGGUUGGUUUGAAUAGUAUAAUCUAACGUGCUAAAAUAAUCAAAGGGGUUAAUCUAAUAGCAGAAAUUUAUUAUAUAUAUAUAUAUAUAUAUAUAUAUAUAUAUAUAUAUAUAUAUUAUAUAUAUACUUUACUACAUAAUUUAUAAUGUAAUUAUAUAUGUAUAAUUACAUAUACUAUAUAUAUAUACUAUAUACAAUAUACAUAUAAUAUAUAUGUACAUUAAUAUAUUAUUAUAUAUGUAAGUAUAUAUUAUGAUAUAUAUAUAUAUAUUGUAUAUACAUAUAUACAUAUAAUAUAUAUGUAUAUAUAUAUUGUAUAUGUAUAUAUAUAGAUAUAUAUGUAUAUGUAUGUAUAUUAUUAGAUAUAUAAUGUAUAUAUAUGAUUAUAUAUGUAUAUAUACAUAUUAUAUCUAAUAUAUAUGUAAUAUAAUAUUGUAUUAUAUUAUUUACAUAUAGUAUAUAUAUAUAUACAUAUUAUGUAUAUACUAUAUAUACUAUAUAAUACAUAUAUAUAUAUAUUAUACAUAUAUAUACAUAUUAUAUAUGUAAUAAUAUACUAUAUAUAUAUAUAUGUAUAUUAUAUGUAUAUAUAUAUAUAUAUAUGUAUAUAUAUAUGUAUAGUAUACAUAUAUAUACAAUAUACAUAUAUAUAUUUACAUAUUUAUGUAGAUAUAUAUGUAUAUAUAAUAUUAUAUACAUAUAUAUAUAUAUAUCUAUUAUAUAAUCAUAUAAUUAUAUAUUCUAUAUAUAUACAUAUACAUAUAUAAAUAUAUAUGUAUAUGUAUAUAUGUAUAUAUGUAUAUGUAUGUAUAUAUUAAUGUUUAUAUGUAUGUAUAUAUAUAUGUAUUGUAUAUAUACUUACAUAUAUGUAUAUAUACAUAUAUAUAUAUAUGUAUAUAUACAUAUAUGUAUAUAUACAUAUAUAUAUAUAUAUAUAUAUACAUAUAUACAUAUAUGUAUAUAUACAUAUAUAUAUAUAUAUACAGAGUCCAGCUACGAUGCUUGUAAAAGUACCAAGCAUUUUGUGCUUUAAAGUUUUUACCAUUAGAUCUACGUCGUUGAUUAUUUUCAUCCGUUAGAUUAUACUAUUCAACCAACCACCCACUCAACCCUAGGGGGCCCACAUCAUCCUAACCGCACAUCUCUUAAUCUAAUGGCUAAUAAUGUAAAAGCACCAAUAACUUGGAGCUCAAUAUAUAUAUAUAUAUAUAUAUAUAUAUAGGCUGUGAUACUAUCAAUAGCACCAAGCUAUUGAUGUUAUUAGGUUUUCGGCCCUUGGAUGAAAAAUUAUACGGUUACGAUAAUGUGGGUCCCGUGAGGUUGAGUUAGUAAUUGCUUGAAUAGUAUAAUAUAAUGGGUAAAAAUAGUCAAAGGAUUAAAUCUAAUGGCAAAAAACUCGGUAGCACUAAGCGCUUGGUGCUAUCGAUAGUAUCCCAGCUAGACUCUCUCUCUCUCUCUCUCUCUCUGUAAUAUACCGAAAAUUCGAAAAGUAGAUAUCGAACUUUAGUCAAAUUGACCAAAGUGCGAGGAUGGUACACUUCGGAAAGUCCGAAGGUGUUAAAAUGAUCAAAAGUGCAUUAUGGGAGGUUUUCGAGGGCUAAAGAAUCAAAAAUCUGCAAACUGUAAUUUUUGAGCUCUCAGGGACCGGUCCCUGAUGGGAGAGACCGGUCGCCGAACGCGUGCAAAGUGAGAAAGCCGAAAAAUCGGCUAAGUCCCAGAAAACCAGCUCUCGGGAACCAGUCCCUGCGGGGAGAGACCGGUCCCCGAGAGACCGGUCCCCCAGUGAGAGACCGGUUGCGUCGCGCGUGCGCCCUGCUGCCCGCGGGGAGAGCUCUCUGGGACCGGUCCCAAGUCGGGGAGACCGGUCCCCGAAUCCGAAAACUGCCCAGUUCAAGCAGUUCAAUAAAGUGAAAGUUGAGGGGCCUAUUUGCAUUUGUGCAACCCAAUUGUUAAGUGGAGGGCUUUGAGGGCUUUUUCUCUCAUUCUCUCCCUCGUACACUCCCUCUCAUCUCUCUUUCUCUCUCUAGAAGACAAGAAGGAGAAGAAGAAGAAGAGAAGGAAAAGAAGGAAAAGAAGAGGAAGAAGGUAAAGAAGAAGGCAAGGAGAAGAAGAAGACCCCUCCUUUCCUUCCCUAGCUUGGAAAAGAAAAGCUUACAAGGUAAGCUUUGAACCCUAAUUAUGGUAGAAUCCAAACUAGGAUUUGGAUUAAGCUAAGAAUAGAUUUUAUAGAACCUUUAGAGUAUUUGAAGCUUUUUUUUGCUUCCUUUUGAGAUCAAAACCAUGGAAUGGUGGAGAUGGUGAAGCUUGAAGGAGAGCUUCAACCUCCUCUCAUCGUGGAACCCUAAAUAGGAUUUUGAUUUGUCUAAGAAUGGUUUUAAUGGACUUUCUAGAGUGGAUUGAAGCUUCUUUUGCUUCCCAAAGAUAUCAAACCCUAGGUUUGGUAUAUGCUAUGGAGCUAGGGCACCCAAAUUGAGGCUUUUGCUCGUGGGGAUUUCUGAGUGCAAUUGACCCUCUAGAAACCUAAUUGGGGGUAUUUCCGACUCGUUGGUGCGCUCGGAUUAACGUUACGAAAAGCCUACGCAAAUUUAUGACCAAGUAAGCCUAAUUUGGCUUCAUUACCUCGCAGGUAGCGAACCGGGUGUCUAAAAAAUCCCAAGAAAAAUCAUCGAAGCACCUCUGAGAACCUACAAGGUGGGUGGUGCUAUCCAAACUCGUUGAACUUCCUUCUAUGCCUAAUGUGUCAUUCAAUUGAGCAUACGUUAUAUACAUUGUUGCAUGCAUUGUAGGAUAAUGUGAUGAGAGUAAUGUGAUGUUGCAUAUUGUGCGUACAAUUUGCCUAAUGAGAUGGUCGAGAACUCCUAUGAAUGUUUAACCCUAUAUGUGUGCAUAAGAUAAAAUGUGAGCACCCAGUGAGGCAAAAGAACAGAGUGACACAAUGAGACAUAGAUCGAGUGGCAUUCAAUAAUGUAAAGUAAAGUGACACUAGAGUUAGUGUAAGGCAAAGAAUCAAUGUGAUGUAAAGAGUAAUGACAAUGACUAAAGUUAAUGUAAAGUGAGGCAUAAAGAACAUGCAAAGAGUAAAGAACAUGAUUGCUAAAGAUAGCCAAAGGUAAAGAAAUGUAAAGAACCAUGAUUGCUAGAGUAGUAACAUAAAGUGAUGAAAGAACACUAGAGUUAGUGUAAUGACAUGAUUGAACUUAUAAUCCUUAGAGUUAAGGAUUCGAUUAUACUUGCUAUGAGUUCCGUGCUCGAGGGUGGUCGCUCCCCCUCGGGCGAUGCGCUCCGGAGUUUUGCAUCACGGGUUGGAGUAAACCCGAGGACGGUCUUAGCGGGAGGAAGCUGAGGACCCGCGAUGAUGGACUUAAUAUGAAGCAAGUUAAUGUGGCGAAACCCUCGAGUUAGCCGUGAGAUUAAAGAACAAAGAAUAAAGAACAAAGAACAAAGAGUAAAGAGAAAGAACAAAAGAACUUGCAUAAUCUGCAUGAGUUUUAUGUUGAACAUACUCUUUACUUUAUUGUUCAGGCAUAUUAGCAUCAUGUUAUAGACUGAUUAUUAUAUUUUUGCUUAUCCUUUCUAUUAUGCCUGAGUUAGUCCUAGUGGAAAAGUCGAUGAUGUUGGGGCCGAACCCACUGGAAACUUUGUUGUAGUUCUCACCCCACUAUUCCACAGAGGCGGGACCGAGCGAGCCGGCGAGCGACCGAGGUAAAGGUAUCGCGCCUUAGUCAGAGGCCACCCAAGUCGGGCUUAUAUUUUGUUAGUAGUGUACCCUUUUAUCAUCUUUUGUAUUUGAUGAUUUAAGAUAUUGAUGUAUAAAGCAAAGAAAGAAAAGAAUGUAAAGUUCUCCUUUGAAGUAUAUGUGAUGUACGAAAGAAAUGAUGUAAUGUUAUAAUGAAAUGUAAGGAAUCGAAAAUGUACAAGUUGGAUGUUUAGUUUUCUUUCUUUCACUUGUGGUUAUUGCCUACCCUCGUGUAAGCCAUUUAUGUAUGUUUCCGCUAGUGCACUUCUGUUUGAAAAUGUACAUGUGAUGAGCCUUGGGCGGACAGGAGAAACUCUGUCCGUUCGGCGUCUGUUUGACGUGCCCGGGCCGGCCCAAAUUGGUAUCGGUCCCGGGGCGUGACACACACACACACUCUCUCUCUCUCUCUCCGCUCCGAUCUCAUCUCGGUACUAACAACACCUUGUUUUUCUCUCAUCCCUCAGACCUGCUCUACUCUGCUUCCUUGCUUUUACUCUCUCUCUCUCUCUCUCUCUCUAUAUAUAUAUAUAUAUAUAUAUAUAUAUAUAUAUAUAUAUAUAUAUAUAUAUACUCUUAUGAGUAUAGACCCCCUUAUACUCAUAAAUUUUUAAUCGUUGAUUGAUGGGAUGUGUGGUUAGGAUGAUGGUGGUCCCCACUUAGAAUGAUAGUGGUCCCCUAGGGUUGAGUAGGUAGUUGGUUGAAUAGUAUGAUCUAACGGGUGGAAAUAAUCAUGGAAUAAAUCUAAGGGCCGAAAACUUUUGAGUAUAAGAGAGGCAAUACUCAUAAAAGUAUAGUAACCGGACUCUCUCUCUCUCUCUCUCUUUGUAUAUAUAUAGGCUCUUGUGCUUUCAAAAGCACGGAGGCCUCUAUACUUGUAAGUUAUUUUCAAUAAUAGAAAAUCUAAUUCGACGAUCGGCUCUGUUAGACAUGAUCUACGUUAUUAGAACCAUUUAAAAACCAAAUUUAUAAUUUUUUGACUUCAUUUACCUAGUGAUCGACUAGUCUCAAAAUAAACAAUUGAAAAUAAAAAUCUCAUAAAAAAUAGUGAUAAAAGACUCGAAUUGCAAAUUAAACGUAUUGUUCACGAUGUUAAGUAGAAUUUUUAUUAAAGUUUGAUAUAAUUUGAAUUCUUCUACGCCAUUGAACUUACAAAUAUACCAUAUUGACUGUUAAAAUAGUCAUUUUUUAGACCCAUUCAUCACUUGAUAAAUAAUAUCAAAAAAUUAUGAAAUUUGAUUUUUAAAUAGUUCUAAAAGGUAGAUUAUGCUUUACGGAUCCAAUCGUCGAAUUAGACGUCUCAUCAUCGAAAAUAACUUACAAGUACGAAAGCCUCCAUACUUUCAAAAGCGCAGGAAAUGUACUCUUAGACACGGAGGCCUCCGUAUUUUCGAAAGCGCAAGAAACGUACUCUGCAUAUCUACAGAGUAUGUUUCCUGCGCUUUCGAAAGCAUGAAGCCCUCCGUGCUUAUAAAUUAUUUUCGAUGAUGGGAUAUCUAAUUUGACGAUCGACUCGUUAAACAUAAUCUAUGCUAUUAGAACUAUUUAGAAACCAAAUUUCAUAAUUUUUCGACAUCAUUUACCAAGUGAUCAAACGGCCUAAAAAAUGACUAUUUUAACAGCCGAUGUGGCACGUUUGUAAAUUCAAUGUGUAGAGCAAUCCAAAUUACAUGAAACUUUAAUAAAAAAUUUUACUUAAUAUCAAGAGUAAGAACAAUACUUUCAAUUUAAAAUUUAAGUCUUUUAUCAUUAUUUUUUAUGAGAUUUUUAUUUUCAGUCGUUCAUUUUGAGGCUACUAAUUUACUUGGCAAAAAAAAAAAUCAAAAAAUUAUGAAAUUUGAUUUCUAAAUAAUUCUAAUAGCGUCGAUCAUACUUAACGGAGCCGAUCGUCAAAUUGGACGUCUCAUUAUCAAAAACAGCUUACAAGCACAGAGGCCUCAAUGAUUUCGAAAGUGCAUAAGCCUCUCUCUCUCUCUCUAGAAAGAGAGAGAAAGAAACUUGUGUCCUAUUCAGAACACGGAAGCUUCCGUGCCCCUUAGUCGUUUUCGAUGAUUAAACUUUCGAAUCAAGGAUCAGCUCCGUUAGAGUUGAUCUAGCGUAUUUAAAGUAUUUGGAAAAUAAAUUUUGUGAUUGUUUGAUAUCAUUUAUCUAGUGAUAAAAAGAACUCAAAAUUAAUUGUUGAAUAUAAAAAUCUUACAAAAAAUUAUAAUAUAACAUUAAAAUUUUCGAUUAGAGAUAUUAAUCUAGUUGUAAAUAGUGUAAAAAAUUUUCUAUCCAAAUUUCAUCUAAUUUGAAUAAUUCUAUAUAAUUAAACUUGCAAACAGCAAAUAUCAACCAUUAAAAUUUGUUGAUUUUGAAUCCUUUCACUCAUUAGAUAAAUGAGAUCUUUUGAUCGCAAGAUAAAAAUGUCGAAAAAUUAUAAAAUUUUAUUUUUAAAAAUUUUAAAAAUUUUUAUUUUUAACGAUGUGAUUCGUAGGGGUGGCAAUCCAGCUCGCCGUUCGUGAGCCAGCUCGUGUUCGGCCAUACGGAAAUGAGCUCGAGAUCGAAUCGCUCGUUUAGUAAACGAGCCGAACACGAGCUGAAUUUUUCGGCUCGUUUAAUAAACGAGCCGAACACGAGCUGGCGUCAGCUCGCUCGUGUUCAGCUCGAUAACAGCUCGAAUACAUAUAUUUUAUAUUUAUAUAACUUAUUUAAUUAUAUUAUAUAUAUAAAUAAAUAAUUAUAUAUAUAUAUAUAUUUUUAUUAUUUAAUAUUUUAGCAAAAUAAAAAUAUAAAGAUGAGCUCAAUAAUAAAAAGACUUAUUUAUAUGUAAAAUUUCAACUAUUAAAUCAAAGUCUAAUGGAUAAGUUUAUAAAUUUAUUUUUUAUUAUAUUCAAUCUAAUAUUUUAACUUAUUGUUCGUUGGCAGUCCUCGUGAGCCGACUCGUGUUCGGCUCGUUUAAUAAACGAUCCGAACACGAGCUGAAUUUUUUGGCUCGAUACUUUAAUGAACCAGCCUCGUGUUCGGCUCGUUUAUAAACGAAGCCGACCGCAGCUCGCUCGUGUCCGGCUCGUUUACACCCCUAGUGAUUCGUUGAUAAAUAGGAUCGGUCGUUACACUCUCCGACUCAGAGGGCUGGAUUAGAGGACUUUUCUUCGCCUCCAUCCUAUGGAUCAUCAGGCUUUCCGUCCCAUCGGAGCGUUGGAUUGGGAUUCCCCCACUCUCUGCACAAGUGGAACAAUGGGAAACAGUGUGGAAACUUCCAACCCAAGGGUUCCCAUGAAUUGAAAUGCCUAUUAUAAUAAUGAACACAUUAAUCUAUGUGGCCUUCCAUGUUUUCCCUAUACUUCACUUCUUCUUUGCUCGUACAAACAAUACUGCUAAAGAAACAAAAUAUUUAUAGCUUUGGUUGUAACGGAGAUGCUGAAAAUUAACUUUUAGUUCUUGAUUCCGCUAAUUUAGCAACACCUAGAUUGAAACAUUUGCAUUUUCACAGAAUAUGUACUAUUAAUUAGUAUUUAUUUAUUUGAGAGCUUGUGCAUCGCUUACCAUAUAUGAGUUCAGUAUCACAUUGUUGAUACCAAAUUGAGCCGACCUAACCCACGUAUGAGCCAAUAAGGACACGUGGUACAUCAGAAGUCGACAAUAAGGCGCCUGAAGGACAAGAAUGCGGGAACGGUUGAAGAUUGGGCGUAACUUCUAUGAGGAGUUAGCGUAACUUUCAUGAGGAGUUAGUAUAACUUCCACGAUCAUGGUUCACCACUCGCUCCAACUACUUUCAACCAACUAAUAAUGUGGGCUAUAAAUACAACUUUAAAGCCUACAAUAGAGGUCUUCGCCCCUGCCACACAAAAGACCACUUUAUUUUCCUGCAUCUUUCUAUUCUCGGCAUUUACCGCUUUCCUUAGGAGUAGUUCCUGUAUUUAGCAUACUCGGCAGUCUGUCUGCCCUACGGGCAUCACUCCCUGCCUUCAUACAUCGAGUUUGUCUGCCCUACGGUCACUUCCUUGUUCCGGUGUACUUUUUCGCUCGCUGAUCAAAAAAAAAUCAUUUCGGCUCUUCCUGCGAUCAGAUCUCGUAUUGUUCUUAGCCAUUCGACUUAUCUCUCAGCCGAGAUAUAGGCUUUCCCUGUUCAUUCGGCUCAUCCUGCCGAAGCGAAUCUACUGUGAAGGUUUUCGAACCGGGUGAUUCGAUCCCUCAUCGGCCUAUAUCGCUUGAUCUCUGUGGGCGCAAACUUCGAGGGUCAUCAUCCGCGGCUGCUCAUCAUCCCGGCGUCUUUCCCGAGGAGGAUAUCUGACCGGGUCAGGGUCGGGACUUUAGUACCGCAACAAUUUUUUGGCACGCCCGUGGACUCAUUUUUUAGGUAAAUUUAUAUAUUAAAUUAUGGCUAAUGAUCUACGUAAUAGGGUUGUUCUUAGAAAAUCUGGGAGUGAUCAACCUAGUGAUUCAGACAAUGCUGGCGAAUAUCAAGCAGUUUUGCCAGUUGAAGGAGAGACUAGUGGACAGUCGGCUCAUCAAGAGCCGAGUCUAACUCAGGCACUCGCCAGAUGAGCCGAGUCCUGCAAACUUUAGAUCAAAAUAUCCAUCAAAGUACGUCGACUAGACGCGGUGCUGGCCGCUAUUACGGCCUAUAAUGAAAUAUUUGCACGAAUAGGGCAAUCAUUGACUCGAAAUGAGCAACAAUGACAGGCUUACAAAGGCCUAUGAUGACACCAGUGUUGCAAAAUCCUGCGACACCGUAAAUGGACAGCCCCAAUACCAGGGGGCACCAUUCCAAGCGGCUUACAGACCGGCCGUCGUCAAUACCGGUCAACAGCCGAAAAUUACAUGGGGAUUGCCACCACCUCCGCGAUGGCAAGCAUACCAGCCCCGAAAUGUAGGGCUAGAGCCUGGGGGGAGGCCCCUAAUGAUAUGCAAGGAGCGAACCCUGCAAAACAGAAUUCUGGAGUUCCUCAAGGGCCAAAUUCGGCUCAAGCACAAAGCUCCGCUGUAUGCUCAGAUUGAGGAAGUCAUUCGGAAUACUUCGGAGUAGGGGCCAGGCCGGCUAUGCGGCCUGUUUUUCGAUCCUCGUAUCCAGCAAAUAUAGAUACAGAGCGAUCCGUAUCGGCAAACUGGAAAAUGCCGAAGUUCGACAAGUUCUCGGGCGAUGAGACCGGAAAUACUCGUCGAGCAUAUAGCCCGGUUCACGGCCUAAUGAAGAGAAGCGGGCGCUGACUCAUUUUUGAAACUUCGAUAUUUAACACGUCGUUAACUAAAACGGCGUUUUUGUAUACAAGUUUAUCAGCCAAUUCCAUCCAAGAUUGGGACGAAUUGAAAGAAAAUUUCAUGAGCGAUUCUAUAGAUCGUAGCACCAAUUAUCCUCGGUCGCGUUGGUUGUACCGACAAAUUCAGGUGAAACGGUCGAAGAGUAUUUGCGUUUCAAAAUAGCCAAAACCGGUGCUUAUGAGAAUGCCGGAAUCAGAGUUCGCCAAAUGGCGUUAAAUGUUCUGCAUUUUAAGAUAAAAGACCAUUUUAAGAUAAGUAUUUUUUUAACCUAUUUGAUCUAGGUGUUCGAGUUGCCUAAUACGAGCAAUUUCAGAAGAAAAGUGAGGACGAUCGAUGCAAUAGCCGAUAUAAAAAUCAAAGCAAAUGCAAGGAGAAAUCCUUGAUAAAGAACAGUCGGUUCAAGAGAGCCGAGCCAAUCGAGUGAAAGUGAAGAAUCGGCUGAUGAAGCCGAGAUAUAGCCAUUUCUUUAAAAAAGAAUUUCUUGAUAGAAAAACAUUCGGUUCAAGAAGAGCCGAACUAAUCGAAUAAAAGUAAAGAAUCGGCUAAUGAAGCCAAGAUAUAUGCUGGGACCAUAAAGCUCGUUUCCUAAAACCGACCAAGACCAGCGAAACUAAAGCUUGGUCUCGGCUGUGCUUUUGAACAGUCGAUUUGACACCAAUAGUCAUACGAAUGUUCAUUCGAAAGACUAUUGGGGGCAUUGUUGAUACCAAAAUUGAGCCGACCUAACCCACGUAUGAGCCAAUAAGGACACGUGGUACACCGGGAGUCGACAUAUAAGGCGCCUGAAGGACAAGAAGGCGAGAAACGGUUGGAAGAUUGGGGCGUAACUUCUAUGAGAGUUAGCGUAACUUCCAUGAGGAGUUAGUAUAACUUCCACGAUCAUGGUUACAACUACUCGCUCCAAUACUUCAACCAAUUAAUAAUGUGGGCUAUAAAUAGUAACUUUGAAGCCUGUAAUAGAGGUCUUCGCCCUGCGCACAAAAGACCACCUUAUUUUCCUGCAUCUUUCAUUCUCGCAUUUACUGCUUUCCUUAGGAGUAGUUCCUUGUAAUUAGCAUACACGGAGUCUGUCUGCCCUACGGGCAUCACUCCCCUGCCCUCAUACUCGGAGUCUGUCUGCCCUACGGCAUCACUCCCUUGUUCCUGUACUCUUCCGCUCGCUGAUCAAUAGAAAGUCAUUUCGGCUCUUCAUGCCGAUCAGAUCUCGUGUUGUUCUAGCAUUCGGCUCAUCUCUCAGCCGAGAUAUAGGCUUCCCCUGUUCAUUCGGCUCAUCCUGCCGAAGCGAAUCUACUGUGAAGGUUUUCGAACCCGGCUGAUUCGAUCCCUCAUCGGCCUAAUCGCUUGAUCCUCUGUGGCGCAAACUUCGAGGGUCAUCAUCCGCGGCCGCUCAUCAUCCGGCGCUCUUCCAGGAGGAUAUCUGACCGGGUCAAGGGUCGGACUUUUAGACCGCCAACAAUUUUGGCACGCCCGUAGGACUCAUUUUUAGUAAAUUUAUAUAUAAAUUAUGGCUGAUGAUCUACGUAAUAGGGUUGUUCUAGAAAUUCUAGAGUGAUCAACCUAGUGAUUCAAACAAUGCUGGGGAAUGUCAAGCCAGUUUUGCCAGUUGAAGAGAGACUAGUGACAGUGGCUCAUCAAGAGCGAGUCUAACUCAGGCACUCGGCCAGAUGAUCCGAGUCCUGCAAACUUUAAGAUCAAAAUAUCCAUCAAAGUACUGCUGACUAGACGCGGUGCUGGGCCGCUAUUACGCCUAUAAUGAAAAUAUUGCACGAAUAGGCAAUCAUUGACUCGAAAUGAGCAACCAAUGACAGGCUUACAAAGGCCUAUGAUGACACCAGUGUUGCAAAAUCCUGCGACACGAGUAAAAUGGACAGCCCCAAUACCAGGGGGCACCAUUCCAAGCGGCUUACAGACCGGCCCGUCGUCAUACCGGUCAAACAGCCGAAAAUUACAUGGGGAUUGCCACCACCUCCGCCGAUGGCAGCAUACCAGCCCCGAAAUGUAGGGCUAUGAGCCGGGGGCAGCGCCCCUAAUGAAUAUGCAAGGAGCAACCCUGCAAUACAGAAUUCUGGAGUUCUCAAGGGCCAAAUUCGGCUCAAGCACAAGCUCCGCUGUAUGCUGCAGAUUGAGGAAGUCAUUCGGAAUACCUUCGGAGUUAGGGGGCCAGGCCGGCUAUGCGGCCUGUUUUUCGAAUCCCUGUAUCCAGCAAAUAUAGAUACAGAGCAUCCGUAUCCGGCAAACUGCGAAAAUGCCGAAUUCGACAAGUUCUCGGGCGAUGAAGACGAGAAUACUGGUCGAGAAUAGCUCGCGUUCACGCCUAAUGUAGAAAGCGUCGCUGACUCAUUUUUGAAACUUCGAUUAUUUAACACGUCGUUAACUAAAACGGCGUUUAUUUGGUAUACAAGUUUAUCAGCCAAUUCCAUCCAAGAUUGGGACGAAUUGGAAAGAAAAUUUCAUGAGCGGUUCUAUAGAUCGGAGCCACAAUUAUCGGUCGCCGACUUGGCUUUGUACCGACAAAUGUCAGGUGAAACGGUCGAAGAGUAUUUGGAUCGUUUCAAAAUAGCCAAAACCCGGUGCUUUAUGAGAAUGCCGGAAUCAGAGUUCGCCAAAAUGGCGUUAAAUGUUCUGCAUUUUAAGAUAAAAGACCAUUUUGAAGAUAAGUAUUUUUUUAACCUAUUUGAUCUAGGUGUUCGAGUUGCCUAAUACGAGCAAUUUCAGAAGAAAAGUGAGGACGAUCGGCUGUAAUGGAGCCGAUAUAAAAAUCAAAGCAAAUGCAAGGAGAAAUCCUUGAUAAAAGAACAGUCGGUUCAAGAAGAGCCGAGCCAAUCGAGUGAAAGUGAAGAAUCGGCUGAUGAAGCCGAGAUAUAGCCACUUUCUUUAAAAAAGAAUUUCUUGAUAGAAAAACAUUCGGUUCAAGAAGAGCCGAACUAAUCGAAUAAAAGUAAAGAAUCGGCUAAUGAAGCCAAGAUAUAUGUGGCUGGGACCAUAAAGCGUCGUUUUCCUAAAACCGACCAAGACCAGCGAAACUAAAGCUUGGGUCUCGGCUGUGCUUUUGAACAGUCGAUUUGACACCAAUAGUCAUCCGAAUGUUCAUUCGAAAGACUAUUGGUGGGGCAUUGUUGAUACCAAAAUUGAUCCGACCUAACCCACGUAUGAGCCAAUAAGGACACGUGGUACACCGGGAGUCGGCAAUAAGGCGCCUGAAGGACAAGAAGGCGAGAACGGUUGAAGAUUGGGGCGUAACUUCUAUGAGGAGUUAGCGUAACUUCCAUGAGGAGUUAGUAUAACUUCCACGAUCAUGGUUACAACCACUCGCUCCAACUACUUUCAACCAAUUAAUAAUGUGGGCUAUAAAUAGUAACUUUGAAGCCUGCAAUAGAGGUCUUCGCCCCUGCGCACAAAAGACCACCUUUAUUUUCCUGCAUCUUUCUAUUCUCGCAUUUACUGCUUUCCUUAGGAGUAGUUCCUGUAAUUUAGCAUACUCAGAGUCUGUCUGCCCUACGGGCAUCACUCCCCUGCCCUCAUACUCGGAGUCUGUCUGCCCUACGGGCAUCACUCCCUUGUUCCUGUACUCUUUCCGCUCGCUGAUCAAUAGAAAGUCAUUUCGGUUCUUCAUGCCGAUCAGAUCUCGUGUUGUUCUAGCCAUUCGGCUCAUCUCUCAGCCGAGAUAUAGGCUUCCCCUGUUCAUUCGGCUCAUCCUGCCGAAGCGAAUCUACUGUGAAGGUUUUCGAACCCGGCUGAUUCGAUCCCUCAUCGGCCUAAUCGCUUGAUCCUCUGUGGGCGCAAACUUCGAGGGUCAUCAUCCGCGGCCGCUCAUCAUCCCGGCGCUCUUCCCGAGGAGGAUAUCUGACCGGGUCAAGGGUCGGGACUUUAGUACCGCAACACACAUAAAAAAUUCCUGGCAUGUAGUUGUAACUUUUAUACUUCACUAUCUCAAUCAUUUGUUUAGGUGAUAUAUAUAGAGAGUGAUGACAUCCACAAAAUAGACGCAAGCACGGACAAGCAUGGGCCGGGCGGCGACGCGCGCUCGGUAUUGGCUACCCGAUUCAGUUUCACCUACACAUGAACCUUAUUUUUUUACUGGUUCUCUGAACAUCUACUUGGUUCAGGUUGCGCUAUCUUGGAGACGUAUCGACGGAAUAGCUCGUGGCCAUUGUAUCGCUAGAAAUGAUUGCCGAGCCCUCACAUGUGGAGAUUAUAUUGCUAAAAGUGAUCGCUUAAGUCUCGUGCGUGGAGAGACAAUCGUGCUUCUAAAACGGUGCCUAGCACGUUUCGAGCCACAUGUCUCAUCUGGAUUUUUUGUAUUUAUAUUAUUUCGCCCUUGACCUUUGCAUGCGUAUUUCAAAAGAGUCAUUUAAAGAUUUCAAAUCAAAAUUUUAAAAAAUUUUAUUUCUACUAUAAGAAUAACCAUUAGAUGACUACUAAUUAAUUCCAGUAUUAGUUAGUACAUUUCUGCUGCAUAACAUAAGCUAGCUCCUGUGAGCCCAGGCUAGUGUGAAGGGAAACUAACAAAUUCGAAGAUUCAAUAUCAGGAAUCUACUAUCCAUUUAAUGAAGAGUAUAGAAAUUAAAUGGUAACAUGUAACGCAGGAGUAAAGUUCGUAAAAUUGUAGUAGCAAAGUAAAAUAAAAAUAACUGAUAAAUAAUUAAAGGUAAAUUUUCAAUCUGUAUUUUAUUAGUGGUCGUCUUACUUAGAAUCAAAUUGAUCAGUAGUAGUCAAAGAGACCUUUAAAAAUGACGAUAUAUAAGCUACUAUACUAUCUAUAGUGCUGGAGCUCCGGUACUAUAGUCUUCUUUUCGAUCUUAGGGUGUUCAAAUUAACGAUCCACACCGUUAAAUAUGAUUUAGGGUAUAUGAAGUUCUUAGGAAUAAAAUUUUAGUUUUUUUCGACAUCGUUUACUUAGUAAAUAAAUUAUAUCAAAAUGGACGGUGGAAAUUGAAUAAUCUUUAAAAUUUGAGUAUAGAACUUUUAAAUUCAAGAUCAAGAAUGUUAACCUUAAUCUAGAUAGUUUAAAGUAUUUUCUAUCAAAAUUUGAAGAAAUUUAGAUUCUUCUAUACCGUUAAACUCCAAACUCGCCAUAAUAGCCAUUGAAAAUUGACAAUUCUGAAAUGAUUUGAUUAUAAAGUAAACUAUGUCGAAAAAAUAUAAAAUUUUAUUUCUAAAAACUUUAAAUACCCUAGAUCAGUUUUAACGGUAUGGAUCGUUGAUUUAAACACUCUAAGAUCGAAAAUGAGACUAUAGUACCGGGGCUCCGGUACUAUAGAUAGUAUAAGAGACUAGCUCAUAUAUAUAUAUAUAUAGAGAGUUGGACUGGGCUACUAUUAGUAGCAAAAUUCCAUUAUUGCUACCAGUUUUUUAGCCUUUGGAUCAACUCUUUUCAUUAUUUCUAACCAUUGGAUUAAAUACUAUAAAAUCAGUGGGACCACCUCAAACCCUAGGGGGAUCACCAAUCUAACACGACUAAUAUCAAUUCGCUGACCACCAUAUAUUUUCAUACCAGGGUUAAAAAUCUGAUAGCGAAAAGACGACGUUUAUCUAUUAAUAGUAUUCCACCUAUUCUAUAUAUAUAUAUAUAAUAUAAUAUAUAUUAUAAGUAUAUACAAUAUAUAUAUAUAAUAGUGUGGCCGGUAUGCUUAUGAAAGCACAGAAGCCUCCGUGCCUCCAAGUCGUUUUCGAUUGCUUCGACUUCGAAUCGACGAUCGUCCGUUAAGUUCAUCCUAGAUAUUUGAAGUACCCUNNNNNNNNNNNNNNNNNNNNNNNNNNNNNNNNNNNNNNNNNNNNNNNNNNNNNNNNNNNNNNNNNNNNNNNNNNNNNNNNNNNNNNNNNNNNNNNNNNNNNNNNNNNNNNNNNNNNNNNNNNNNNNNNNNNNNNNNNNNNNNNNNNNNNNNNNNNNNNNNNNNNNNNNNNNNNNNNNNNNNNNNNNNNNNNNNNNNNNNNNNNNNNNNNNNNNNNNNNNNNNNNNNNNNNNNNNNNNNNNNNNNNNNNNNNNNNNNNNNNNNNNNNNNNNNNNNNNNNNNNNNNNNNNNNNNNNNNNNNNNNNNNNNNNNNNNNNNNNNNNNNNNNNNNNNNNNNNNNNNNNNNNNNNNNNNNNNNNNNNNNNNNNNNNNNNNNNNNNNNNNNNNNNNNNNNNNNNNNNNNNNNNNNNNNNNNNNNNNNNNNNNNNNNNNNNNNNNNNNNNNNNNNNNNNNNNNNNNNNNNNNNNNNNNNNNNNNNNNNNNNNNNNNNNNNNNNNNNNNNNNNNNNNNNNNNNNNNNNNNNNNNNNNNNNNNNNNNNNNNNNNNNNNNNNNNNNNNNNNNNNNNNNNNNNNNNNNNNNNNNNNNNNNNNNNNNNNNNNNNNNNNNNNNNNNNNNNNNNNNNNNNNNNNNNNNNNNNNNNNNNNNNNNNNNNNNNNNNNNNNNNNNNNNNNNNNNNNNNNNNNNNNNNNNNNNNNNNNNNNNNNNNNNNNNNNNNNNNNNNNNNNNNNNNNNNNNNNNNNNNNNNNNNNNNNNNNNNNNNNNNNNNNNNNNNNNNNNNNNNNNNNNNNNNNNNNNNNNNNNNNNNNNNNNNNNNNNNNNNNNNNNNNNNNNNNNNNNNNNNNNNNNNNNNNNNNNNNNNNNNNNNNNNNNNNNNNNNNNNNNNNNNNNNNNNNNNNNNNNNNNNNNNNNNNNNNNNNNNNNNNNNNNNNNNNNNNNNNNNNNNNNNNNNNNNNNNNNNNNNNNNNNNNNNNNNNNNNNNNNNNNNNNNNNNNNNNNNNNNNNNNNNNNNNNNNNNNNNNNNNNNNNNNNNNNNNNNNNNNNNNNNNNNNNNNNNNNNNNNNNNNNNNNNNNNNNNNNNNNNNNNNNNNNNNNNNNNNNNNNNNNNNNNNNNNNNNNNNNNNNNNNNNNNNNNNNNNNNNNNNNNNNNNNNNNNNNNNNNNNNNNNNNNNNNNNNNNNNNNNNNNNNNNNNNNNNNNNNNNNNNNNNNNNNNNNNNNNNNNNNNNNNNNNNNNNNNNNNNNNNNNNNNNNNNNNNNNNNNNNNNAUAUAUAUAUAUAUAUAUAUAUAUAUAAAGAGAGAGAGAGAGAGAGAGAGAGAGAGAGAGAGAGAGAGUUCGACUGGGAUACUAUCGAUAGCACGAAGCAGUUGGUGCUAUGAAGUUUCUGCCGUUAGAUUUACCUCUUAUAUCAUUUUCAUCUGUUCGAUUAUGUUAUUCAACCAACUACUCACUCAAUCCUAGGAGGCCCACACGACAACAAAAACGGUCUAUAGCGACACUUUUAAAUGUCGGUACAGGUCAAAAGAAGUGCUGCUGGCUAAAUUGCCGACACUUUUAAAAAGUGUUGCUAUAUAUGGGGUUGCUAGGUAUAUAGUGACAGUUAAAGAGUGUUGCUAUAACCUAAAAAGAGGGCUGCUAAAUAACCAGUACUUAUUUAAACAUUUAGUAACCGUCGGAAUUCUACUUCGUUGGCUGCGGUAGCGGAAGAGGACGAGAGGGGAAUAGCUCUUCGUCUAGAAUUUCAGUGGUUUGAGUGAGGGGAGAAUGGGAGAUGGUAAUCGAUUUUUUUUUCUUUUCUGUUUGUAAUCAAGCUGAAUGGGCUGGGUGGGGUGGUUUGAGUAGAGUAACCUUUUAUUUUUAGUUUGAUCGGGCUUUAUAUUUAGACAUUAGUAGAUUUGUUAAAAGUUUUGGCAUAAAUGGAACACUUACACAAAAAUGUCCCAAGCAUAUGUCCCUAUAACAUAAUUUUGUUGUAGUGCCACAUCAUCCCAACCGCACAUCUUUUAAUCUAAGGGUGAAAAACUUAAUAGUACCAAGUCAUUUGUGCUAUUAAUAGUAUUAUAGCCUGGUUCUAUAUAUAUAUAUAUAGAGAGAGAGAGAGAGAGAGAGAGAAAGAGCGAGAGAGAGAGAGUUGAGAUCGAAUAUGUUAGAAAAUUGCGUACAGUAAAAACGCAGCGGAAAAGAAAAUCAAACAAUUUUGAUUUUUCAAACUCUCGAGAUCCAAUCUCAAAAACCAAGCAAUUAGAAUCCCUCAUGUUCUUUAAAAUUAAAGGAGAAAAGUAAAAUCGAAUCUUUAACUUUUUCGCGGAUAAAUCUUCGUCUCAAUUUGAUGAUCGUGGAAUCCGGUUCUCUUGAAGCCGCACACGCGUCCGGCCUCGAUAGGUAUCUACACGAGGUUCUUGAUUUGAUCGAUGUCCUCAUCAAGGUGCUAACUCCCUUGCAAAAGGAUGUCUUUCUUGCUAGAAUAUGGAAGAGAGAGGAGAAGAGAGAUGACGGCUAGGGUUUUCUAAAAACUCCCAUAUUCUUAUAUAGAGAAAUAUAAUCCUCCUUUUAAUAAUAUAAUAACCAUUAAAGAUAAGUACAAAUCUAGAUUUAAAUUUAUCCUUUCCUUAAUUGGUUGGAUCAAUCAAAUCCUAAUUUGAUUCAACUUGAACUUUAUAUUAAUUUGAUCAUAUCAAAUUAAUAACGCAACAUUUGCACAUAAAUUCUCUUAUAAUUUACUAAUUAUUAGUAAGUCCUCUCUAGUAACAUUUAUACCUUAAUACCACUAAUUUGUAACAGUUAUAAAUUAGUCCAAUUAUCAACAUAUUGACAAUUAGGUCCUCCGACAAUUCAAUAAUCGCGAUCUAGCUAUCUGAUCAAUCACAACCUCUUAUGUGUGUGACCCCAUAGGUUCUAUUCUAUCUGGUAGUGAGAUAUAUUUUGAUCACUAUCAACAAUAUCACUGAAACUCCUUUCAGUGGAUCGGAACAAUUCCAAUUCAGCUCAAUGAGAAUUAUCGAUCAUCUAAAUAAUUCUCAUGAGUCUCACAAUCCACCAAUGACGCCUAGCAGCAUAUAGUGGCAUUCC